CCUACGGGAGGCAGCAGUGGGGAAUAUUGGACAAUGGGCGCAAGCCUGAUCCAGCAAUGCCGCGUGGGUGAAGACGGCCUGCGGGUUGUAAAGCCCUUUAGGCGGGGAAGAACGGCCGGGCGCAAACAGCGCGCGGCUCUGACGUUACCCGCAGAAUAAGCACCGGCUAACUCCGUGCCAGCAGCCGCGGUAAU
rnacentral:rRNA from 1 species